rnacentral:lncRNA from 12 species
AUGCUCCAGCAUUGCGGCCUCUCCCUCACAGUCAGCGAGCCCGAGACACCAACAGGGCUCGUUCAGGAACCAGAGCUAGAACCCACCGAAGCCGAGGGGACGAAGCAAGCUGAUCAGUCCACCUUAAAGCCAGAAGCGGACAUGAACCUUAUAGAUCUGUGGUCCACGGAUCCAAUUCCCACCUUAGUACCCACCCUCAAACCUUUGUCUUCUUCGCCGGUCCCGUCCGGAUUGUUACAUGCUCCAGUCCCGUCCGGAGAUCCUCCUCCUAUGUCCCUAUCUGAUUUCCUGGUCCCAUCUUCUCCACUGGUUUUAGCCAGUCCCCUGGAUUCGUCGGCCCUACUGGUGUCGUCCAGCUCCUCGGCUCUGCCUCUGCCGCUAGCUCCUUGCGGCUCAUCAGCCUCACCUCAGGCUUGCCCUCCACCAGCUUGGGAUCACGCUGAGUCCCCGGCUGCACUUUGGCCCUCCAGGCCCAUGUCUCCACCUCGGCCUGUCAGCCCGCCGGCUCCGCGCCAGCUCUGCAUUCCUUUGGCUCCACCGAGGCCCGUCUGCCCAAGGACUCCUCCGUGCUCCCUCGUUUAUCCAGACAAACCUCGGUCGGUUGUCGCUCAGCUUCCGCUACGGACUUCCGGGUCUCCGGCUUCGCCUCGAUCCUCCACCCCUUCGGCUUCACCAGGCUCCUCCCCUCCUUCGGUUUUCCUGUCGUCCUCACUUGCUCCAUCGUCGCCCUGGUCAGCCGAAUCCCCGGCUCCGCCUCAGGCACGCGAGCCAGCCGCUCCACCUUGGGCUUCCAGGCCUUUGAUGUCACCCUGGUCCGUCGAUCUCUCCACUCCGCUGGUUCCUCCAUGUACCCUGGUUCCGCCUCCGUGGAUCGGCCUCUGGGUGUCGCCCUGUCCUUUAGCCAAAGCUCCUCCCUGGUUCCUCCCACCGUCUGCUCCCCCAUGGUGUUGGCCUCCUCAAAAUUCUCCAGGCUCCAGUCCUUCACCAGCACCAAACCCUCCACCUAAGCCUCCACCCUCGUUUCUCUUUUUCUGUCAUCUACUGUUGUGGCGUGAGGUCACGCCUUCUGAGGGAGGAGCUAAUGUCACAAUUACAUUCAGUUUAGUUAAAGUUCUUGUCUUGUCUGUUAUGAGCUCUCAUUAG